rnacentral:rRNA from 1 species
GACAAACGCUGGCGGCGUGCUUAACACAUGCAAGUCGAACGGUAAGGCCCUUCGGGGUACACGAGUGGCGAACGGGUGAGUAACACGUGGGUGAUCUGCCCUGCACUUCGGGAUAAGCCUGGGAAACUGGGUCUAAUACCGGAUAGGACUCCUGGCUUCAUGGUUGGGGGUGGAAAGCUUUUGCGGUGUGGGAUGGGCCCGCGGCCUAUCAGCUUGUUGGUGGGGUAAUGGCCUACCAAGGCGACGACGGGUAGCCGGCCUGAGAGGGUGACCGGUGACGAUGGGACGAGGAUACGGCCCAGACUGCUACGGGAGGGAGCAGGGGGGAAUAUUGCACAAGGGGCGCAAGCCUGAGUCAGCGACGCCGCGUGAGGGAUGCCGGCCUUCGGGUUGUAAACCUCUUUCAGCUAUGACGAAGCGCAAGUGACGGUAGUAGCAGAAGAAGGACCGGCCAACUACGUGCCAGCCGCCGCCGUAA